CUCUAUGCCUCUCUCCAUGAGCCUGCAGCUGGAUGUUUCAGCUAAGCUCUCUGCCUGUCAAUCCCCUGAGAUCUACUCCCUGCCUCACCCCCAUGCUCAUGUUACAGGUAUACAUCUCCAAGAUUUUAUUUUUAAACAUGUGUUUGGGGGAAUCUAAGCUCAGGUUCUUUUGCUUGUGUAGCACAACCCACUGAGCUAUCUAACAAGCUCUUAAUGAAUUAUUCUUAAUUUUCCAAAGGGAAAACAAUGGAAGAAAAUACUGAAGAAGUGUGUCUGUUGUGUCUGACUGAAAGGAUAAGAGAAAAGUUAAAUUUUAGCUAUUCUCAGAAAAGGUGAACUGAUGGUUGUUAACCAAGGCAGGCGAACGGGUGGAAGGAUAUCUAGCUGAAUUGAAAUUGACAAAACUGGGUAACUCAGACAGGG
rnacentral:lncRNA from 1 species